AACUUUCGGCAAUGGAUCUCUUGGCUCUCGCAUCGAUGAAGAACGCAGCUAAAUGCGAAAAGUAAUGUGAAUUGCAGAAUUCAGUGAAUCAUCGAAUCUUUGAACGCACCUUGCGCUCUCUGGUAUUCCGGAGAGCAUGCCUGUUUCAGCAUCACUAUAACCUAUACAAUGUCCUUAUGUAAGGACAUUGUGAUUUGGGGAUUCCAAAGUAGAAAUAUUUUGGUUCCUUUAAAUUCAUGGAAAUGAUAUUUUAUGUGUCUAUGGCGUAUUAAUUAAUCCGCAAGGAUUAUACUCGCCUAUACUAGCCGUAAGGUAUCGUGUCCCUUCUACGGAAAAGUGUGUCGUAAGGCACACAAUUUUUGAUGUGAUCUGAAAUCAGGUAGGAUUACCCGCUGAACUUAAGCAUAUCAAUAAGCGGAGGCU
rnacentral:misc_RNA from 1 species